rnacentral:rRNA from 1 species
AUUGAACGCUGGCGGCAGGCCUAACACAUGCAAGUCGAACGGUAGCACAGAGAGCUUGCUCUCGGGUGACGAGUGGCGGACGGGUGAGUAACGUCUGGGAAACCGCCCGAUGGAGGGGGAUAACUACUGGAAACGGUAGCUAAUACCGCAUAACGUCGCAAGACCAAAGUGGGGGACCUUCGGGCCUCACACCAUCGGAUGUGCCCAGAUGGGAUUAGCUAGUAGGUGGGGUAAUGGCUCACCUAGGCGACGAUCCCUAGCUGGUCUGAGAGGAUGACCAGCCAAACUGGAACUGAGACACGGUCCAGACUCCUACGGGAGGCAGCAGUGGGGAAUAUUGCACAAUGGGCGCAAGCCUGAUGCAGCCAUGCCGCGUGUAUGAAGAAGGCCUUCGGGUUGUAAAGUACUUUCAGCGGGGAGGAAGGCGGUGAAGUUAAUAACUUCACCGAUUGACGUUACCCGCAGAAGAAGCACCGGCUAACUCCGUGCCAGCCGCCGCAGUAA